UAUUAGCUCCAGAUAAUUUAGUUUGUCAUCAAAAGUUGUUACUCUGCCAUGAAAAAGUCUUUGUGAAGCACUAACAAGCUGCUACUCGUAGCUACGUACAUGUAGCUAGCUAGCUGCUACAUUGUAGCAUAGAUAGUAGUGUUUCAAAGAUACCUGUACAUGAUCUAGAACACCACAGUAUGCCCGUGUUGUUCCACUGACCAUCAACGCAUGUCACCACAGCUGCUCCUGAUAGAAAGGUGAAAGAUUCUUUACAGCUGAGAGUAGCAGUUAUAAGGGGAGAUUGUAGUAAUAAUUUUUUUGGCUGCCACGUGCAGAAAUGCUAGAGUCAAAGUUCACUGAGGCUACUAUUUGAGAGCGGCUACUAAAAUAAUGUUUCAUUUUGCUAGCAAGGGAGGCUACUAUUUGAGUGCGGCCUUUAUACAAGAGCGGCCUCUGAUCGAGCAUUACGGUAUUACCCAGUGUUGUCUAGCCUCGAUCCCAGGCCGAGUUUUCGCUUUUAUAACGGUUAGGCGAACAACUGGGGGUACUAGUUGUCUGCGCAUGCGUCAGUCGUUUGUCAGAUUCUGACAAAUGAUAUUCUCGUUCACUUUCGUGACAUUUAUAUUCGUGUACUAUCGUGUACUAGAAGUCAGUUUCCGUUUUAUCAUUAUUGGAAUCGAUUGGAAUGGCUCUUAGCUGAAGCUUCUCUCUUCUCUGAAGCUUAUUCUGAAGACUGAACAACAAGGGAAGAGGUAUAAAGCUUUGUCAAGCUUGUUAAGGUCAGAUAUUUUUGUGUGGGCCCUAUGGCCGGCUAUGCUAUCAAGUCUUGUUCAUGUUUGGCAAGAAUGUAGGUAGACUAUAGUUUCAUCAUUAAUAUGGUGGAUCAAAUGAAGAGUGUGAGCUAGAGAACUUGGUGCUGCCAUCAUCAGCUCGUCGAAAAUGACACUAUAACCGAGAAAUUUAAUAUGUAUAGAUCUACACGUAUUUAAAAUGUCUACUUCUCUGUACAGGAGCAAUGGCUAAUAUCCAGCUAUCCCAACAGUGCUCCUCUUGGCUAUACUAACGGACGAGACUGGACAGUUUGAGACACAGGACUGGAGUAUGACCUGCUCAUUCGAGCGUUGCUGGGUAGCUCAGAGACAUCAAGAGAAUCUACGUUUUCUCAAGCAAUGAGUUACGAGUUGGGGCCUAGAAUCAGAGAAGUCCAGCAGCCUGCUAAAUCUUUUUGAAACGUAAUUUGAAGGCAUUCAAUCAUCCUGAAGUUGCCCUGGGUCACUGUAAUUGUGCUGCAGCACAACUGGCAACUCCCCAGGCCUUUGUGAAGCAGCUCCCUAUGUGCAUCUUUUGUGUACUCACUCUGUGCAUUUUCUGUGUACAAAUUUCGAUUAUUGAUUUAUUAAAUA